GUUACUUCAAUGAUGUGGACCGUGAUGACGGACGCUACCCGCCCAGGCCCAGGCCACGGCCACCUGCAGGAGGUGGCAGCGGUGGCUACUCCAGUUAUGACAACUCCGACAACACGCACGGUGGAGAUCACCAUUCAACGUAUGGCAAUCCAGAAGGUAACUGAUUGACUCACCUGGUCCCAACCUUUAAUAAGAGCACACUCUCCUAAAUCAGUGCUGGGAGGAGCUGUGUGGGCUUCUGUUUCCCAACCUCAUGACUUUCAUGGAGCACUCAUACUUUGUCUGUAUAUAAAGUAGCUUCUGAAUAAAAAUA
rnacentral:sRNA from 1 species